UACGUAGGGGGCUAGCGUUGUCCGGAUUUAUUGGGCGUAAAGAGCGUGUAGGCGGCCAGGUAGGUCUGGUGUGAAAACUCGAGGCUUAACCUUGAGAUGUCAUCGGAAACCAUUUGGCUAGAGUCCGGAAGAGGAAAGUGGAAUUCCUGGUGUAGCGGUGAAAUGCGCAGAUAUCGGGAGGAACACCAGUGGCGAAGGCGACUUCCUGGCCUGUUCUUGACGCUGAGGCGCGAAAGCUAGGGGAGCAAACGGG
rnacentral:rRNA from 1 species